UACGUAGGGGGCUAGCGUUGUCCGGAUUCAUUGGGCGUAAAGCGCGUGUAGGCGGCCCGGUAAGUCCGUUGUGAAAGUCGGGGGCUCAACCCUCGGAUGCCGGUGGAUACUGUCGGGCUCGAGUACGGAAGAGGCGAGUGGAAUUCCUGGUGUAGCGGUGAAAUGCGCAGAUAUCAGGAGGAACACCAAUUGCGAAGGCAGCUCGCUGGGACGUUACUGACGCUGAGACGCGAAAGCGUGGGGAGCAAACAGG
rnacentral:rRNA from 1 species